rnacentral:rRNA from 1 species
GAUGGGCUCAUGUCCUAUCAGCUUGUUGGCGGGGUAAUGGCCCACCAAGGCUACGACGGGUAGCUGGUCUGAGAGGACGACCAGCCACACUGGCACUGCGACACGGGCCAGACUCCUACGGGAGGCAGCAGUGAGGAAUAUUGCGCAAUGGACGACAGUCUGACGCAGCGACGCCGCGUGGGGGAUGAAGGCCUUCGGGUUGUAAACCCCUUUCAGGAGGGAAGAUGGGACGGGAAACCGUUCGGACGGUACCUCCAGAAGCAGCCACGGCUAACUCUGUGCCAGCAGCCGCGGUAAGACAGAGGUGGCAAGCGUUGUUCGGAUUUACUGGGCGUAAAGGGUGCGUAGGUGGUUAGGUAAGACCUGUGGGAAAGACCUGGGCUUAACCCAGGAAGGUCGCAGGUGACUGCCUAGCUAGAGGGCGGGAGAGGAGCGCGGAAUUCCCGGUGUAGCGGUGAAAUGCGUAGAGAUCGGGAGG